rnacentral:rRNA from 1 species
CGGAGGAUCCAAGCGUUAUCCGGAAUCAGUUGGGUUUAAAGGGUCCGUAGGCGGUUUAGUAAGUCAGUGGUGAAAGCCCAUCGCUCAACGGUGGAACGGCCAUUGAUACUGCUAAACUUGAAUUAUUAGGAAGUAACUAGAAUAUGUAGUGUAGCGGUGAAAUGCUUAGAGAUUACAUGGAAUACCAAUUGCGAAGGCAGGUUACUACUAAUGGAUUGGCGCUGAUGGACGAAAGCGUGGGUAGCGAACAGGAUUAGAUACCCUGGUAGUCCACGCCGUAAACGAUGGAUACUAGCUGUUGGGGGCAACUUCAGUGGCUAAGCGAAAGUGAUAAGUAUCCCACCUGGGGAGUACGUUCGCAAGAAUG